AGGCUCGUAGCUCAGUUGGUUAGAGCGCCACCUUGACAUGGUGGGGGUCGUUGGUUCGAAUCCAAUCGAGCCUACCA
rnacentral:tRNA from 3 species